GAGGCUGAAAAGCGUAGUCGAUGGGAAACAGGUUAAUAUUCCUGUACUUCUGGUUACUGCGAUGGAGGGACGGAGAAGGCUAGGCCAGCUUGGCGUUGGUUGUCCAAGUUUAAGGUGGUAGGCUGAAAUCUUAGGUAAAUCCGGGGUUUCAAGGCCGAGAGCUGAUGACGAGUCGUCUUUUAGAUGACGAAGUGGUUGAUGCCAUGCUUCCAAGAAAAGCUUCUAAGCUUCAGGUAACCAGGAACCGUACCCCAAACCGACACAGGUGGUCGGGUAGAGAAUACCAAGGCGCUUGAGAGAACUCGGGUGAAGGAACUAGGCAAAAUGGCACCGUAACUUCGGGAGAAGGUGCGCCGGCUAGGGUGAAGGAUUUACUCCGUAAGCUCUGGCUGGUCGAAGAUACCAGGCCGCUGCGACUGUUUAUUAAAAACACAGCACUCUGCAAACACGAAAGUGGACGUAUAGGGUGUGACGCCUGCCCGGUGCCGGAAGGUUAAUUGAUGGGGUUAGCGCAAGCGAAGCUCUUGAUCGAAGCCCCGGUAAACGGCGGCCGUAACUAUAACGGUCCUAAGGUAGCGAAAUUCCUUGUCGGGUAAGUUCCGACCUGCACGAAUGGCGUAACGAUGGCGGCGCUGUCUCCACCCGAGACUCAGUGAAAUUGAAAUCGCUGUGAAGAUGCAGUGUAUCCGCGGCUAGACGGAAAGACCCCGUGAACCUUUACUGUAGCUUUGCACUGGACUUUGAGCCUGCUUGUGUAGGAUAGGUGGGAGGCUUUGAAGCGUGGACGCCAGUUCGCGUGGAGCCAUCCUUGAAAUACCACCCUGGCAUGCUUGAGGUUCUAACUCUGGUCCGUAAUCCGGAUCGAGGACAGUGUAUGGUGGGCAGUUUGACUGGGGCGGUCUCCUCCUAAAGAGUAACGGAGGAGUACGAAGGUGCGCUCAGACCGGUCGGAAAUCGGUCGCAGAGUAUAAAGGCAAAAGCGCGCUUGACUGCGAGACAGACACGUCGAGCAGGUACGAAAGUAGGUCUUAGUGAUCCGGUGGUUCUGUAUGGAAGGGCCAUCGCUCAACGGAUAAAAGGUACUCCGGGGAUAACAGGCUGAUACCGCCCAAGAGUUCAUAUCGACGGCGGUGUUUGGCACCUCGAUGUCGGCUCAUCACAUCCUGGGGCUGAAGCCGGUCCCAAGGGUAUGGCUGUUCGCCAUUUAAAGUGGUACGCGAGCUGGGUUUAGAACGUCGUGAGACAGUUCGGUCCCUAUCUGCCGUGGACGUUUGAGAUUUGAGAGGGGCUGCUCCUAGUACGAGAGGACCGGAGUGGACGAACCUCUGGUGUUCCGGUUGUCACGCCAGUGGCAUUGCCGGGUAGCUAUGUUCGGAAAAGAUAACCGCUGAAAGCAUCUAAGCGGGAAACUUGCCUCAAGAUGAGAUCUCACUGGGAACUUGAUUCCCCUGAAGGGCCGUCGAAGACUACGACGUUGAUAGGCUGGGUGUGUAAGCGUUGUGAGGCGUUGAGCUAACCAGUACUAAUUGCCCGUGAGGCUUGACC
rnacentral:rRNA from 1 species